GACGAACGCUGGCGGCGUGCUUAACACAUGCAAGUCGAGCGGGAAACUUCGGUUUCCAGCGGCGGACGGGUGAGUAACACGUGGGCAACCUGCCUCACAAUGAGGGAUAGCCCUCCGACAGGAGGAUUAAUACCUCAUAACACAAGAGGAACGCAUGCUUCUCUUGCCAAAGAAUAUCGUUGUGAGAUGGGCCCGCGGCGCAUUAGCUUGUUGGUGAGGUAACGGCUCACCAAGGCUUCGAUGCGUAGCCGACCUGAGAGGGUGAUCGGCCACAUUGGAACUGAGACAAGGUCCAGAAUCCUACGGGAGGCAGCAGUGGGGAAUAUUGCACAAUGGAGGAAACUCUGAUGCAGCAACGCCGCGUGAGUGAUGAAGGUCUUCGGAUUGUAAAGCUCUGUCUUCUGGGACGAUAAUAACGGUACCAGAGGAGGAAGCCACGGCUAACUACGUGCCAGCAGCCGCCGUAA
rnacentral:rRNA from 1 species